rnacentral:rRNA from 1 species
CCUACGGGGCAGCAGUGGGGAAUAUUGGACAAUGGGCGAAAGCCUGAUCCAGCCAUGCCGCGUGUGUGAAGAAGGCCUUCGGGUUGUAAAGCACUUUCAGUGGGGAAGAAAGCCUUGGGGCUAAUACCCUCGAGGAAGGACAUCACCCACAGAAGAAGCACCGGCUAACUCCGUGCCAGCAGCCGCGGUAAUACGGAGGGUGCGAGCGUUAAUCGGAAUUACUGGGCGUAAAGCGCGCGUAGGCGGUCUGAUAAGCCGGUUGUGAAAGCCCCGGGCUCAACCUGGGAACGGCAUCCGGAACUGUCAGGCUAGAGUGCAGGAGAGGAAGGUAGAAUUCCCGGUGUAGCGGUGAAAUGCGUAGAGAUCUGGAGGAAUACCAGUGGCGAAGGCGGCCUUCUGGACUGACACUGACGCUGAGGUGCGAAAGCGUGGGUAGCAAACAGGAUUAGAUACCCUUGUAGUC